rnacentral:rRNA from 1 species
AGUGAACGCUGGCGGUAGGCCUAACACAUGCCAGUCGAACGGCAGCACAGUAAGAGCUUGCUCUUACGGGUGGCGAGUGGCGGACGGGUGAGGAAUACAUCGGAAUCUACUUUUUCGUGGGGGAUAACGUAGGGAAACUUACGCUAAUACCGCAUACGACCUACGGGUGAAAGCAGGGGAUCUUCGGACCUUGCGCGAUUGAAUGAGCCGAUGUCGGAUUAGCUAGUUGGCGGGGUAAAGGCCCACCAAGGCGACGAUCCGUAGCUGGUCUGAGAGGAUGAUCAGCCACACUGGAACUGAGACACGGUCCAGACUCCUACGGGAAGCAGCAGUGGGGAAUAUUGGACAAUGGGCGCAAGCCUGAUCCAGCCAUACCGCGUGGGUGAAGAAGGCCUUCGGGUUGUAAAGCCCUUUUGUUGGGAAAGAAAAGCAGCAGGUUAAUACCCCGCUGUUCUGACGGUACCCAAAGAAUAAGCACCGGCUAACUUCGUG